rnacentral:rRNA from 1 species
GUGUCAGCAGCCGCGGUAAUACGGAGGGUGCAAGCGUUAUCCGGAUUUACUGGGUUUAAAGGGUGCGUAGGUGGGCAGGUAAGUCAGUGGUGAAAUCUUCAAGCUUAACUUGGAAACUGCCAUUGAUACUAUUUGUCUUGAAUUAUCUGGAGGUAAGCGGAAUAUGUCAUGUAGCGGUGAAAUGCUUAGAUAUGACAUAGAACACCCAUUGCGAAGGCAGCUUACUACGGAUAUAUUGACACUGAGGCACGAAAGCGUGGGGAUCAAACAGGAUUAGAAACCCCUGUAGUCC